CAUCACUUCAAAAACCCAACGCUCAUAUGCCCAGAGCCACACGACAAAUGUCUAUUCACCGUCACUUCAUUUUUUUUUUGAAUUUCAAAAUUUCUAACGUCUAGAUUCACCCAUGAUAUACCAAAGCAUUAUGCAGUUGUUCAGUUCUUAUUUCAAUCGAUCAUCAUGAAUCUGGGUUGCGUUUCUUUGGAAGACAAGCCCUGAAAUGAAUCAUCUCCUGCCUUCGGAGAACCUGGAAAACAAUUCGAGCGAGGCAGUGACGGCGACUCUAAAGUUUGGCAAGAUGCAGAUAUCUCUCUAGAGGAUCCACAGGUGGGGCAGUGAGGACUUCAAGAUGCUCCUGGAGCGGCCUAGUGGAGCGUGACAUUUUCUGUUAUUGUGUUUUUGUUUGGAUUUUGGGAUUUUUUUUUAGUAAUUAUGACUCAUGGAUUUGUUAUGAAGCUUUAUUUUGAUUAAAGUUGUUAAUUGUGAACUUUUAUUUUGGACUAUAAUAAAUAUUUAUUUAAUCUUGUUGUUUUGA